rnacentral:misc_RNA from 1 species
GAUGAAGAACGCAGCGAAAUGCAAUACUUGGUGUGAAUUGCAGAAUCCCGUGAACCAUCGAGUUUUUGAACGCAAGUUGCGCCCGAAGCCGUUAGGCCGAGGGCACGCCUGCCUGGGUGUCACACAUCGUUGCCCCAAUGCCAAUCGCCUCACUUUGUAGGUAUUUGCUUGGGGUGAAUGUUGGCCUCCCGUGAGCUUUGUCUCACGGUUGGUUGAAAAUCGAGUGCAUGGUGUCGGGUGUACCAUGAUGGAUGGUGGUUGAGUGAUGAUGCUCGGUGACCCACAUGCGUCCCUUGGAUGCUCCCUAAGGAGACCUCAGGUCAGGCGGGGCUACCCGCUGAGUUUAAGCAUAUCAAUAAGCGGAGGA